rnacentral:rRNA from 1 species
CCCUUAGAUGUUCUGGGCCGCACGCGCGCUACACUGAUGCAUUCAACGAGUUUUUCCUUGGCCGAGAGGCCUGGGCAAUCUUUUAAACGUGCAUCGUGAUAGGGAUAGAUUAUUGCAAUUAUUAAUCUUGAACGAGGAAUUCCUAGUAAACGCAGAUCAUCAAUCUGCAUUGAUUACGUCCCUGCCCUUGUACACACCGCCCGUCGCACCUACCGAUUGAAUGGUCCGGUGAAGCCUCGGGAUUGUGGCGAGUUCCCUUUAUUGGGAGUUUGUCGCGAGAACUUGUCUAAACCUUAUCAUUUAGAGGAAGGUGAAGUCGUAACA